rnacentral:rRNA from 1 species
GUGUCAGCCGCCGCGGUAAUACGUAGGUGGCAAGCGUUGUCCGGAUUUAUUGGGCGUAAAGGGAGCGCAGGCGGUGACUUAAGUCUGAUGUGAAAGCCCACGGCUCAACCGUGGAAGGUCAUUGGAAACUGGGUCACUUGAAUGGAGCAGAGGAGAACGGAAUUCCAUGUGUAGCAGUGAAAUGCGUAGAUAUAUGGAGGAACACCAGUGGCGAAGGCGGUUCUCUGGGCUCACAUUGACGCUGAGGCUCGAAAGCGUGGGGAGCGAACAGGAUUAGAAACCCCCGUAGUCC